GAGACCCAUAUACCAGAAAACAAUAGUAUCUCUGUUGGGGAUAGAUCAGCAACGAUAAAACUCAUCACGCCAACAACUCCGCUGGGGAUUCAUCCGAGGGAGCGAAUAAAAUCUGAGGAUCAACCACCAAAUACCGAAUCCACCAAAGAAAAUCACACCUGGCGAGGAGAAAAGAAUGCUGCUCUGCUGGAGAAAUGAAGGUGAAUAACCUCAACCAAUAUUCCACUUGGCAACCUCACUGAGGAGAAACCAUAAAAGGUUCAAACAACACUCUACUGGGGAUGCA
rnacentral:lncRNA from 1 species